ACAGAAUAAUAUCAAAUAUUACUAUUACUAAACUAUUUACACCUUUGACUUAAAGAUCUAUCCUCUCAUAUUUAAAUACUUUUCACAGUUUUCAUGAAUCAUUUUUUUUAAAAAUGCCCCUCUUGAAGGACUAGUUUAUUUUUUCCCACGAAUAGCCUCAAAAAAGAAAAGGGUAUUCAAUUUAAUAUUACAGGAAAACCACUGAAUAUUGACACCUACACAUUUACUGCAACCAGUUUUUGCUUGAAUCAUUAAACUAAUUUCCUGGCGACCACUUUAAUAAUCACGUAUUGUUGUUGCUAUUUUAAUGGGUUGAACAAGUGGCAGACAAUGCUGUGUCUGGUUUAUUGCUUGGAUUAAAUGUUUUAUUCUCGACCUGUAAAUUUUAUUUUACUGUCCGAGUGACGCAUCGUCUCAAUAGACGAUCUCGAACGAGCACCGGCCGCUCGCUGCUGCUUCCACCAGUUUGUCGCCCCGCGCUCGCUCCCGGUUGGCGCGUCACGGCGUUGCUGUGGAGACCCGUCACCGCCGCGGGUGAUGGAGGCGCCGUGUUUACCUGUAAACUGCGACAGCGAGGCAGCCAGGGAGCCGCCAUCCGUCAUUUAUACCCUGAGAAGGGACGGAGGGAAAAGGCCAAUCAACAGGUGCUCGGUCCCACGGGAGAGGAUGGUGGCCGGCGAGGCUCUGAGAUUUACAUACGCUAUAAUUAUAAGAGGACAUAGCCUGUAGCCUAUCAGGCGCUUAUUAGCAUCACACACACACACACACAGCUCUUUCUCCCACACUCCUUUCUUCCUCUCUAAUGAAGGGCCCUUCAGCACUUACAUCAGCUCCGAGGAGGCAGCACAGAGAGGGAGUUGAAAGAAAGGAGCGGUAAUUACUCGAGAGCCUGAACUGGAGAGCAGAGAGCGGGCUGAGCUGAAGAGCGGCUGGAAGGAAAUGAAGUGGAGGGAACAAGUGUGUGUGGGGGACUGAAGGUAGCCCUGUACUCGCUUUCUUUCUUUCUUUCUUUCUUUCUUUCUACACAAUCAGACAUCCCGCUGUACUCUCCAUCCAUCCAUCCCUCCAUCCAUCCAUCCCUCCUCUGCUCCUGUUCAUUUACUCUGAGUGGCAGUGUGUGGGAAGUGAAGGCCAGCAGAACUUCAAGCAGAGCCGCUUCCACGCCGUCUCGACACUUCACCAGUGGGAAUAACAGUUUGUGGAAGGAGCAGGAGGGACGCAGAGCGAGUGUCUGACGAUGGGCCGGUCGGGGUGGAGGGGUUCAGACACCGGCCGCAUGUGAAAGCAGCGUGAAACAAAAGCUCAGCAGGAGGUCUGAUGACUGCAUACGUGUGAAUUGGGGGAGUGAUUGGAGACUAAUUGAUCACCAGAGUCACUAUCAGUUCAUUACCGAGGUGGUAAUGACCCUAAUCAGUAAACAGGCGCGAUCAAUCACCGGUGAUUGGUUAAUGAUGAAGAAAUAAAAGGAUUCGAGCAGUAAUGAAGGAUGCUUUAAAACAUCUGAUCGGUUGGAAUUAGAUGGAAAUGCUGCAACACAACAGAAAUCACUGAUUUAAGUUACUUUAAGCACCAACCUGUUGCAGGAAACAUCCACAAAGAUGUCAAUCUUUUAUUUUUUUGUCUUUUUGCAGAUUCCUGUACAGCUCCUCUGUCUUUAUUUAUCAAUCAUCUUGCACUCUAUAUCUCUGUCUGUUUAUAUUGUAUAUAAAAGACAAAUUCCUUCUUGGUGUAAAGUUCUUGGUAAUAAAUCUGU